CUGGGAGCGGGCACGCCCUGCCCGGCCUCUCUCCUCCGGCCCCGUCCGGGUGUCCUCUGCGAGGGUCUCGGGCGGGCUGGGGGCGCCGGCUCCCAGGCUUCCCGCCUGGGAGAUUCAGUCCCCUGCCUAGGCGACUCCCUUGAGUCUCCGCGCCCCGCACCACCCCGGAGGCGCCGGCCGGGCCCGGAACUCAGAGCUUGCCGCGGACUCCGGGGAGAGGCCGCCCUGGGGCCGGGUCCUGUGGCCUCUCCGGAGUUUUCUCGGGGAUUUCGGCCCGGCGCCCGCGAGGCCGGGCUCCGUGUUCUUCACGCACACGGUGCAGCCCUGGCUUAAUCGGCUGGCAUCAAGGCCGCCUCGAUCUCAGCAGCUGUGUUGACAAACAUGGCCCAACAAGACGGCCACCAUCACAGGAUGAAUCUGAAGGACUUAAUUGCCUAGCUCUGCAGUUUCCUCUGAAACCUCUUUUCCGUUUGUGGAUGGACUUGAACUCGACAGACCAUGGAGCGUCAUUGAGCAUGCCCACUUUCAUAGCAGUCUGAGCUUCAUAGGCCUUGAGCUUAUAGCAUCCCUUUAUGGUGGACAUGGCGGAAAGUGUUGGACAUGCCAUUUCAGACUGAGCUCUGACCUCCAGACUGACGGCUGUGGUCUUCAUCACAUUCCAGCAGGAGAUGUGGGCUCACAUCAGGCUGUCACACUGAACCCUCUGUGCUUAGAGCUUUAUAUCCAGGAGCAUGACAGCAAGGACUGUAUUGUCAUUUUGCUCCAUACUCCUGCACUGAGAACAAGAAUCUCAAGAAGUGAUGAAGUCUGUGACCCAGCAAUUCCACUCCUAGGGGCACUUGGGAGAGAACCAAGAACAUAUAUAUAUAUAAACGUGAUAGCGGCACUAUUCAUGACAGCCAAAAAGGGGAAACAAUCCAAAUGUUCAUCAGCUGAUGGCUGGAUGAACAAAUGUGGUAUGUCCGUACACUGGAAUAUUAUUAAGCUCAAAAGGAAAUAAAGUAAUGAUACAUGGCAUAAGAUGGAUGAACCUUGGAAACAUUAUGCUAAGUGGAAAAAGCCACAUACAAAAGGCCAUAUACAAUGCGAUUCCAUUCUGAUGAAAUAUAUAAAAUAAACAAACCCAUAGAGAAUGAAAGUAGAUUUGUGGUUGCAGGAGGCUAGGGGCUGGAAUAAUGGGGCAUGUGUGUGUGCAUGAAUUUGCUUCUGUCAUGUCUGACUCUUUGCAACUCUCUGGACCAUAGUCCACCAGGCUCCUCUGUCCAUGGGAUUCUCUAGGCAAGAAUACCAGAGAGGGUUGCCAUUUUCUCUUCCAGGGCAUCUUUCCCACCCAGGGAUCAAACUUGUGUCUCUUGUGUCUCCUUCAUUGUCAAGUGCGUUCUUUACUACUAGUGCCACCUGGGAAGCCCAGAAUAAUGGGGAGUGACUGCUAAUGGGUAUGGGAUUUCUUUUUUGGGUGAUCAAAAUGUUCUGGAAUUAGAUAGUUGUGAUGGUUACCCAACAUUGUGAAUAUACUAAAAUGCACUGAAUUAUGCACUUCAAAAUGGUGACUUUUAUCUCAAUAAAAAAUGC
ensembl:lincRNA